UCCACGCCGUAAACGAUGCUCACUCGCUGUAUGCGAUACACAGUAUGCGGCCAAGCGAAAGCAUUAAGUGAGCCACCUGGGGAGUACGAUCGCAAGGUUGAAACUCAAAGGAAUUGACGGGGGCCCGCACAAGCGGAGGAACAUGUGGUUUAAUUCGAUGAUACGCGAGGAACCUUACCUGGGCUUAAAUGUAGAGCGACAGAUUGUGAAAGCAGUCCUUCUUCGGACGAUCUACAAGGUGCUGCAUGGUUGUCGUCAGCUCGUGCCGUGAGGUGUCGGGUUAAGUCCCAUAACGAGCGCAACCCUUAUCGUUAGUUGCCAGCGGGUGAAGCCGGGGACUCUAGCGAGACUGCCACCGUAAGGUGUGAGGAAGGUGGGGAUGACGUCAAAUCAGCACGGCCCUUAUGUCCAGGGCUACACAC
rnacentral:rRNA from 1 species